rnacentral:tRNA from 1 species
AUUUAUAUAGUUUAAAAAACAUUACAUUUUCAUUGUAAAAUUAAGAAUUAUACUUCUUUAUAAAUA